GUUUUACCGAGAACUGCCCCGAAAGAGAUCAGGACCGUGGCUGUGCUGAAGUCCGCAUUGAUGAUCCUGCAACGCGAGCGGACGGGUUGUUCGGAAAAGAACUUACAAGCGUGAUUGUGAGCGAUGCGAGUGCCAUAUGCCCUGCAUGAGGAGCCCCCACUGCAGGCCGAAGGCGGCCAGUAGCAGGUUGACGCCCACGCUGCUGAAGCCGUAUCGCUUCAGGAAGGUCAUCAAGAAGCCAAAGCCGAUGAAGAUCAUCACGUGGACAUCUUGGAACACUGGAGGCGCACAGGAAAGGAGGGAGGUUUUCAGAGCAUCCCUCAGCGAGCCAGUCGCAAACCCAGUCAGACUUACUCGGAUAGAGCUCCAUCGGCGGCUCGUGGUGGUCCGUGCCGUUGGCGCCGUGCCCAGCGUGGCCGUGGGCCCUGCCGUCAUC